UACGAAGGGAGCUAGCGUUUUUCGGAUUUACUGGGCGUAAAGCGCGUGUAGGCGGUUAAUUAAGUUGGAAGUGAAAGCCCAGGGCUCAACCCUGGAACUGCUCCCAAAACUGAUUAACUAGAGAGUGGUAGAGGAUGGUGGAAUUCCUAGUGUAGAGGUGAAAUUCUUAGAUAUUAGGAGGAACAUCAAUGGCGAAGGCAACCAUCUGGACCAUUUCUGACGCUGAGAUGCGAAAGCGUGGGGAGCAAACAGG
rnacentral:rRNA from 1 species